rnacentral:rRNA from 1 species
CAUUGGUCAAGCUACAAAGGGCUCACGGUGGAUACCUUGGCACACAGAGGCGAUGAAGGACGUAGUUACCUGCGAUAAGUCUCGGGGAGCUGGAAACACGCUUUGAUCCGGGAAUUUCCGAAUGGGGCAACCCCUAGAACGGCCAGCUGAAUCCAUAGGCUGGCUCGAGCCAACCCAGCGAACUGAAACAUCUUAGUAGCUGGAGGAAAGGAAAGUAAAAACGACUCCCUGAGUAGCGGCGAGCGAACGGGGACGAGCCUAAACCGAUGGUUUCGACCAUCGGGGUUGUGGGACAGCAAUGUGGACCAGGGACGUUAGAGGAAGCGUUUGAAUGGCGCGCCAGAGAGGGUGAAAGCCCCGUACUCGAAAACGAAACUGGCCUAGCUGUAUCCCGAGUAGCACGGAGCACGUGAAAUUCCGUGUGAAUCCGCGAGGACCACCUCGUAAGGCUAAGUACUCCUGUGUGACCGAUAGCGCAACAGUACCGCGAGGGAAAGGUGAAAAGAACCCCGGGAGGGGAGUGAAAUAGAACAUGAAACCGUGAGCUUACAAGCAAUGGGAGUCCUACUCAUAGGAUGACCGUGUGCCUGUUGAAGAAUGAGCCGGCGACUUAUAGGCACUGGCAGGUUAAACCGGAAAUGGUGGAGCCAUAGCGAAAGCGAGUCUGAAUAGGGCGAUCGUCAGUGUUUAUAGACCCGAACCCGGGUGAUCUAACCAUGGCCAGGAUGAAGCUUGGGUGAUACCAAGUGGAGGUCCGAACCGACUGGUGUUGAAAAACCAGCGGAUGAGCUGUGGUUAGGGGUGAAAUGCCAAUCGAACCCGGAGCUAGCUGGUUCUCCCCGAAAUACGUUGAGGCGUAGCGUUUAGUGCUAUAGCAGGGGGGUAAAGCCACCGUUUCGGUGCGGGCUGCGAGAGCGGUACCAAAUCGAUACGAACUCUGAAUACCCUGUGUGAAACUAGGCAGUCAGACUGUGGGGGAUAAGCUCCAUGGUCGAAAGGGAAACAGCCCAGACCGCCAGCUAAGGUCCCUAAAUCAAUGCUGAGUGAUAAAGGAGGUGGGAUUGCCCAGACAACCAGGAGGUUUGCCCAGAAGCAGCCAUCCUCAAAGGAGUGCGUAAUAGCUCACUGGUCGAGCGAUCCUGCGCCGAAAAUGAACGGGGCUAAGCAUUGUACCGAAGCUGCGGAUUUAAUUGUUCUUAGGAACAUUCAAAUGGUAGGGGAGCGUUCCAUGUGGGGUGAAGCGUUAGCGUAAGCGGGCGUGGACUGCAUGGAAGUGAGAAUGUCGGCUUGAGUAGCGAAAACAUGGGUGAGAAUCCCAUGCCCCGAAACCCUAAGGGUUCCUCCGGCAGGCUCGUCCGCGGAGGGUUAGUCAGGACCUAAGGCGAGGCCGAAAGGCGUAGUCGAUGGACAACAGGUCAACAUUCCUGUACCUGUCAUGUUUUGGGAAGGGGGACGGAGAAGGCUAGCCCAGCCAGAUGUUGGUUACUGGUUCAAGCGUUCGAGGCGUUGAGGAGCGGAGAAAACGCUCUGAGCUGAGGCGUGAGUACGAGCUGCUACGGCAGCGAAGUGGGUGAUGUCAAGCUUCCAAGAAAAGCCCUAUACCCGUUAAGGCAUGAUGGCCUGUACCCGAAACCGACACAGGUGGGGUGGUAGAGAAUACCGAGGGGCGCGAGAUAACUCUCUCUAAGGAACUCGGCAAAAUGGCCCCGUAACUUCGGGAGAAGGGGUGCCACCGCAAGGUGGUCGCAGUGAAGAGGCCCAGGCGACUGUUUACCAAAAACACAGGUCUCCGCUAAGUCGCAAGACGAUGUAUGGGGGCUGACGCCUGCCCAGUGCCGGAAGGUUAAGGAAGCUGGUCAGCGAAAGCGAAGCUAGCGACUGAAGCCCCGGUGAACGGCGGCCGUAACUAUAACGGUCCUAAGGUAGCGAAAUUCCUUGUCGGGUAAGUUCCGACCCGCACGAAAGGCGUAACGAUCUGGGCGCUGUCUCGGAGAGAGGCUCGGCGAAAUAGAAUUGUCUGUGAAGAUGCGGACUACGUGCACCCGGACAGAAAGACCCUAUGAAGCUUUACUGUAGCUUGGUAUUGUGCCCGGGCUCUGAAUGCGCAGGAUAGGUGGGAGGCUUUGAUCCAUGGCUUGCGGGUCAUGGUGAGCCAACGGUGAGAUACCACUCUUUCAGAGCUAGGGUUCUAACAGCCACCCGUUAUCCGGGGGCUGGACAGUAUCAGGUGGGCAGUUUGACUGGGGCGGUCGCCUCCUAAAAGGUAACGGAGGCGCGCAAAGGUUUGCUCAGGCUGGUUGGAAAUCAGCCGACGAGUGUAAAAGCAGAAGCAAGCUUGACUGUGAGACCAACAAGUCGAACAGGGACGAAAGUCGGCUUUAGUGAUCCGACGGUUCUGAGUGGAAGGGCCGUCGCUCAACGGAUAAAAGUUACUCUAGGGAUAACAGGCUGAUCUCCCCCAAGAGUUCACAUCGACGGGGAGGUUUGGCACCUCGAUGUCGGCUCAUCGCAACCUGGGGCUGAAGUCGGUCCCAAGGGUUGGGCUGUUCGCCCAUUAAAGCGGUACGCGAGCUGGGUUCAGAACGUCGUGAGACAGUUCGGUCCAUAUCCGGUGCAUGCGUAAGAACAUUGAGAGGAGUUCUCCCUAGUACGAGAGGACCGGGAGGAACGCACCUCUGGUGUACCAGUUAUCGUGCCAACGGUAAACGCUGGGUAGCCAUGUGCGGAGAGGAUAACCGCUGAAAGCAUCUAAGUGGGAAGCCCACCUCAAGAUGAGUGUUCUCAUGGCUUAAGCCAGUAAGGUCACGGGAAGAACACCCGUUGAUAGGCUCUACGUGGAAGCGCAGCAAUGCGUGAAGCGGAGGAGUACUAAUAGACCGAGGGCUUGACCA